rnacentral:tRNA from 1 species
GCCUUCGUGGUAUAGUGGUCAGCACGCUGGGCGCGUAUUCCAGAGGUCCGUGGUUCGAUUCCCGGCGAAGGUG